rnacentral:rRNA from 1 species
GAUGAACGCUGGCGGCGUGCUUAACACAUGCAAGUCGAACGAAGCACUUUAUUUGAUUUCCUUCGGGACUGAUUAUUUUGUGACUGAGUGGCGGACGGGUGAGUAACGCGUGGGUAACCUGCCUUGUACAGGGGGAUAACAGUUGGAAACGGCUGCUAAUACCGCAUAAGCGCACAGCAUCGCAUGAUGCAGUGUGAAAAACUCCGGUGGUAUAAGAUGGACCCGCGUUGGAUUAGCUAGUUGGUGAGGUAACGGCCCACCAAGGCAACGAUCCAUAGCCGACCUGAGAGGGUGACCGGCCACAUUGGGACUGAGACACGGCCCAAACUCCUACGGGAGGCAGCAGUGGGGAAUAUUGCACAAUGGGCGAAAGCCUGAUGCAGCGACGCCGCGUGAGCGAAGAAGUAUUUCGGUAUGUAAAGCUCUAUCAGCAGGGAAGAUAA